rnacentral:rRNA from 1 species
AAGAGACAGCAGUCGCCACGGGAAUACGUAGGUGGCAAGCGUUGUCCGGAAUUAUUGGGCGUAAAGGGCUCGCAGGCGGUUUCUUAGGUCUGAUGUGAAAGCCCCCGGCUCAACCGGGGAGGGUCAUUGGAAACUGGGAAACUUGAGUGCAGAAGAGGAGAGUGGAAUUCCACGUGUAGCGGUGAAAUGCGUAGAGAUGUGGAGGAACACCAGUGGCGAAGGCGACUCUCUGGUCUGUAACUGACGCUGAGGAGCGAAAGCGUGGGGAGCGAACAGGAUUAGAUACCCCUGUAGUCCCUGUCUCUUAUAC